rnacentral:rRNA from 1 species
ACCUACGGGGGGCAGCAGUGAGGAAUAUUGGUCAAUGGGCGGAAGCCUGAACCAGCCAAGUCGCGUGAGGGAAUAAGGCCCUACGGGUCGUAAACCUCUUUUGUCGGGGAACAAAGGGCGCCACGUGUGGCGUUGUGAGUGUACCCGAAGAAAAAGCAUCGGCUAACUCCGUGCCAGCAGCCGCGGUAAUACGGAGGAUGCGAGCGUUAUCCGGAUUUAUUGGGUUUAAAGGGUGCGUAGGCGGUCCGGAAAGUCAGCGGUAAAAGCCCGGGGCUCAACCCCGGCGAGCCGUUGAAACUGUCGGG